AGUGAACGCUGGCGGUAGGCCUAACACAUGCAAGUCGAACGGCAGCACAGUAAGAGCUUGCUCUUACGGGUGGCGAGUGGCGGACGGGUGAGGAAUACAUCGGAAUCUACUUUUUCGUGGGGGAUAACGUAGGGAAACUUACGCUAAUACAGCAUACGACCUACGGGUGAAAGCAGGGGAUCUUCGGACCUUGCGCGAUUGAAUGCGCCGAUGUCGGAUUAGCUAGUUGGGGGGGUAAAGGCCCACCAAGGCGACGAUCCGUAGCUGGUCUGGGAGGAUGAUCGGCCACACUGGAACUGGGACACGGUCCAGACUCCUACGGGAGGCAGCAGUGGGGAAUAUUGGACAAUGGGCGCAAGCCUGAUCCAGCCAUACCGCGUGGGUGAAGAAGGCCUUCGGGUUGUAAAGCCGUUUUGUUGGGAAAGAAAAGCAGCAGGUUAAUACCCCGCUGUUCUGACGGUACCCAAAGAAUAAGCACCGGCUAACUUCGUG
rnacentral:rRNA from 1 species